rnacentral:rRNA from 1 species
ACGGAGGGUGCAAGCGUUAAUCGGAAUUACUGGGCGUAAAGCGUGUGUAGGUGGUUUGUUAAGUCGGAUGUGAAAUCCCCGGGCUCAACCUGGGAAUUGCAUUCGAUACUGGCAAACUUGAGUUUAGUAGAGGAAAGUGGAAUUCCAGGUGUAGCGGUGAAAUGCGUAGAUAUCUGGAGGAACAUCAGUGGCGAAGGCGGCUUUCUGGACUAAAACUGACACUGAGGCACGAAAGCGUGGGUAGCAAACAGG